CCUACGGGAGGCAGCAGUGGGGAAUAUUGCGCAAUGGGCGAAAGCCUGACGCAGCAACGCCGCGUGAGUGAUGACGGCCUUCGGGUUGUAAAGCUCUGUCUUCAGGGACGAUAAUGACGGUACCUGAGGAGGAAGCCACGGCUAACUACGUGCCAGCAGCCGCGGUAAUACGUAGGGGGCGAGCGUUGUCCGGAUUUACUGGGUGUAAAGGGAGCGUAGGCGGACUUUUAAGUGAGAUGUGAAAUACCCGGGCUCAACUUGGGUGCUGCAUUUCAAACUGGAAGUCUAGAGUGCAGGAGAGGAUAAUGGAAUAUCUGGUGUAGCAGUGAAAUGCGUAGAUAUCAGAUAGAACACCAAUGGCGAAGGCGAUUCUCUGGACUGUAACUGACGCUGAGGCUCGAAAGCGUGGGGAGCAAACAGGAUUAGAUACCCUGGUAGUCCACACCCUAAACGAUGAAUACUAGGUGUAGGGGUUGUCAUGACCUCUGUGCCGCCGCUAACGCAUUAAGUAUUCCACCUGGGAAGUACAAUCGCAAGGCUGAAACUCAAAGGAAUUGACGG
rnacentral:rRNA from 1 species